CCUACGGGAGACUGCAGUGGGGAAUAUUGCACAAUGGGGGAAACCCUGAUGCAGCGACGCCGCGUGAGUGAAGAAGUAUUUCGGUACGUAAAGCUCUAUCAGCAGGGAAGAAAAACCGGCCUUAGGGCCGCCAGACGGUACCUGACUAAGAAGCCCCGGCUAACUACGUGCCAGCAGCAGCGGGAAUACGUAGGGGGCAAGCGUUAGCCGGAUUUACUGGGUGGAAAGGGAGCGUAGACGGCAGCGGAAUUCUGGAGUGAAAUGCCGGGGCCCAACCCCGGAACUGCUUGGGAAAGUGUGCAGCUGGAGUGCAGGAGAGGUAAGCGGAAUUCCUAGUGUAGCGGUGAAAUGCGUAGAUAUUAGGAGGAACACCAGUGGCGAAGGCGGCUUACUGGACUGUAACUGACGUUGAGGCUCGAAAGCGUGGGGAGCAAACAGGAUUAGAUACCCCAGUAGUC
rnacentral:rRNA from 1 species